rnacentral:lncRNA from 1 species
AGAGAGAGAGUGCAUGUGUGCAUGCGUGGGAGUUGGGGGGAACGAGCAGAAGAAGAGGGAGAGAGAAAAUCUUAAGCAGGCUUCUAAGCCUUAUGCAGGGCUCCCUCUCAUGAUGCUGAUGAGAUCAUGACCUGAGCCAAAAUCAAGAGUCAGACACUUAAGUGACUGAGCCAUCCAGGUGCCCCUGUGGUAUCUGUUUUUAUUUUUAUUUAUUUAAUUUAUUUAUUUUUCACAGGCGCCCAGGGGGUUCCCACCUGCCCCGCGCCCCACACCACACCAUGGACGGGGGGCGCACACUCACGUGGACAUGGCCCAACAGCCACCGGGCAGCGCCCUGCAACCUCCAAGGGCUCUGUCAACCUCCGCGCCGGGGCGCGCCCAGCUGGCUGCCUCAGAUCUUCCUCUUCUCAUCUAUGCAGCAGAAGAAAUUAUGUUGCGUGAAUAUCAGCAUGAUAUCAGUAAAUGCCUCUAAAGCCUCUGACAAUGUUUUCCAACCAAAAGGUUUUAACUUGAAACUUUCUCAUAAAAAAUACAGAUGCUCAGCUGGUAAUCAAUCAUCUAUAAUUAUGCUUUGGAGAAACUUCAUAUGCAGAGAUACUCAACUUGUCAUAGCUACAAUUUGUAAGUAAUUCUAAAAAAUUUAUAUUCUGUAAUCUCUUUGAAAGUUUAACUCAGUGACUG